GACGAACGCUGGCGGCGUGCUUAACACAUGCAAGUCGAACGGAAAGGCCCUGCUUUUGUGGGGUGCUCGAGUGGCGAACGGGUGAGUAACACGUGAGUAACCUGCCCUUGACUUUGGGAUAACUUCAGGAAACUGGGGCUAAUACCGGAGAGGAGCUCCUGCUGCAUGGUGGGGGUUGGAAAGUUUCGGCGGUUGGGGAUGGACUCGCGGCUUAUCAGCUUGUUGGUGGGGUAGUGGCUUACCAAGGCUUUGACGGGUAGCCGGCCUGAGAGGGUGACCGGCCACAUUGGGACUGAGAGACGGACCAGACUCCUACGGGAGGCAGCAGUGGGGAAUAUUGCACAAUGGGCGGAAGCCUGAUGCAGCAACGCCGCGUGCGGGAUGACGGCCUUCGGGUUGUAACCCGCUUUCGCCUGUGACGAAGCGUGAGUGACGGUAAUGGGUAAAGAAGCACCGGCUAACUACGUG
rnacentral:rRNA from 1 species